AGUGCAGCUGUCUCCAUCAUGAGUCAGCACGGAUGCUCUGCUGGACGAGGGAGGCCAAGUUCUCCUGCUCUCCAUGAGACAGGGGAGGAGAGUGACCUGUCAAGCGUACAGCACAUAAACUUCAGAAAGGAAGACGCCUCUCCUGAUCACAGUCUAGUGGAGGAGAAACCAGACUCACCAGUACCCAGCAGUGUGUCCAUGAUGAGUGAUCUAUCAAUGGGUCUGAUCAUGGAUGUGAAAGAGGGAAACAUCAAUCCUGAGACAAGCAUCCAACAAGAACAAACAAUUCAUCCAUUCCUCAG